GCUUGCAUACAAGGACCUUGGUUCUAGCACAGCCAGAAAGGAGAACUUCUUCCCUUCCUUUUACUAGAGCAUUUUAAGUAAUUUGUACACUGGAGGAGCACAGUUUUUUUCAGACAGUAGCAGGUGCAGUAGAUUUUGGGGAGAGGCCAGAGUCAGGAGCAAAUGGGAAUGAGGAUAAAGAGGCUGGCAGACAAAUCUUAGUGUAUCGAUUUUAGCCUGCCAGAAUGUAUAUUGGAUGAGGCUGGAGACCUGCUGACUCGGUCCUCUCCUAAAGACUGAUGAAACAUUCCCAUGGUGAGGCCUGCGAGGCAGCAAAGUCAGAAAGCCAGAUUCUUAUCAGUGAAGUCCUUCUUGCUUUAACUGAUAAUCACUGGAGGAGAGAUUUUAACUUUCUGGAAGACAAUGUGGGCUAAGGAAUUACUUCUUUCUUCUUGUCUUUUUGGCUGCUGCUGGCUCGUGAUGCUACAGUUGAAAUGAUUUUGUCUUUCUGGUUAUCUGCUUGGGAUUGCAAUGUUCCCACCUAAUCUCCAUUAAUUCAGAUGUUUUGCAGAGAGAGUAGAGUUGAUGGGUUUUGGCUGGUUUUUGCUCCCUGCUGUCGAGAAACAAGGUACUGUGGGUGUGAACUCUUCAAAUAGCUUCUGGUUUGGUGGUUUGAGGCAGCAGAGGAUGAAGAGUCCUAUGCUUGGUGCCUGUGUCUGCUUUACAUCAUCAGUAACUGUCUUCACUAAUGGGAGGCUCCUGUGUCAUAACCUGAAGUUGUUUAGAUACACAGGCGACACCAGAUGACCUUAACACACAGACAGUAGGGAGCGAAGCACAGCGGCUGGCAGACUUCUAGGUCAGUGACCAAGCUGAAAAUCCUGCAGGAGAAAUGGAUCACUGCUCUCAGGAGCCCCUCGAGACAACGCCAGACAAAUAAAACCAGAUGAAGCACCAGUGCACAAAAGGUCCGCCAGGAACUCCCUUAUGCAAAAGCUGACGCCUCUUAGUGGAUGCAGUCCAGAAGACUCCAGAUCCUUUUAAGAAAGAUGAAUUGUCACCCUGGUAGCCUCUUUCUCAAGAAGCUCUUAUACAAGAAUACAGGAAACUACAAGAAGAGAUGACCAUGGAGCAUACUGUGCUCAGGAAGAAAGCAAAAGAAAUCCCCACAGUCGCUAGGAGCAGCAGUAAUGACACAGACAGGCAGUCCCUCUGGCUCAGUCUGGACUGCAGCUGUGCGUGCUGGUUGGUGACAGGACACAUCAGGCUGUUCUGGCUGCUGGGGCAUGUUUGUAUUUCCAGUGCACGGUGGUGAAAUGAAGGUGGCACAGGGCUGUGCAGAGUCAGCCCUGGCUUUCAUUCGGUGUGGAUAAGAUCUUUAUUUCAUUCGUGCUGACUGCUUCAGUAUUGAUCAUGUCACUCAUUUCAAUGGAGUGGGUUGUGAUUUAAGCUGUUAAAGGGAAAAUCAGCCUUUGUGAUGAUUACAGCUGCACACUCUUUACUUUCUGGUAAACACACUAAUUUUUUCUACUGUAUUUGCUACUUACUUCCCCAGCAUGGCUCACCACUGGCUUUGCCUUUCUGUUUGUCACAGACUGGUUUUUAGCCUACAAGUAUUUGAGGGCAUUUAUCAUAUAAGCCACAGCAGGUCCCAACCUGCUAUGGUAAUGAGAAUAAAUGAAAAGAAGAUAAAUGACAUGAUGGUUCCUGUCCACAUCUGAUUAAGCAGAACUGUGUUAUAACAAGGGCCAUCCAGCCCAGUGCCUCACCAGCUCUCUGCAGUAUCUAGUACAGAUCCUUAGGGGGUGGAAAAAUCAGAACAAAGCAAAUAGAGCUUCCUCAGUGUGAGAACAGUUGGAGUCUGCAGACAAUGUGGAGCAUUACUUCAGAGCAGCAGAGCUUGGGCUUGGGACGGAAACCUAAAGGUAACAACUAAAAUCAUUUUAGAGUUGUUCUUUCAGCAGAAACUUCCCAGAGGCCCUGAACAGUUUUUAUUCCAUCCUUGGUGCCAGAAGCACCAAUUCAUUCCCACACAGGAUUCAAAUGCUGCAGCUGUUCCCUCAAUACCUUCUACAAUGCAGUUAGUUAUUGCUAAACCAAAAAAAUCUACAGCAUGCUGUAAAGUGGAAAUAGAAGACAAUCUAUUUAAUGGCUGGAUACCUCUAUCAAGGCUUAAGGAAGUCAUACAUGAACAGUUCAGGAUUUGUAUUGCAAAUUUCAAACAGACAGAACUUGCUUUAUGACAUCUGCUUCCUCUUCACAGAGGGAGAAACCUGAAAUGAUGCAGGAAGGGAAACCAGCAGCAUGAUAUAGACCCAGUUUGCACCUGGAAACCCUGAUUACCAUGCUCUGCAUUGCUCGCAAUGGGAAGAGGCUGCUGCAGACUCAACUGGGCUCCUUCUCAGCUUCUAUAGCAGGAACAGUAGCUAAAGAUCACCCUGGGUAGGGAAAUGGGAGCCAUGGAAGAUGUGCAAUGACAGUGUUUUUUUCUAGUUGCUUAGCUUCAACAUUUACUUCGACUGCUAUCAAGUUGCUAGUUCACUGGGGACUUAAAUAUGUCAGUCUUACACAUAAUGAAGUAUGAGAGGUUCUCUCUAUUUACCCAUGAAGUUCUAAAGGGUAGAUAAAGUAACUUUUCAUUGAUGAACCUUCUCAAGUAUUGCUUUCUUUUCAGUUAUUUGAAGUGAGGUUUGUCUUUCUGAAGGAACUCUGGAUUAGGUCUUUAUGUCACCCUACUGUAACACAGAGCAGAGCAUCUUAUGGGGAAAAAAAAGGUACCACUGCAUCUGCAUUUACAAGUUCUACUCCUAAUUCUUGCAACAGCUUAGGAACUUACAGUGUGCAAAAGCUGUUACACUGCAUACUGAACUAACCUUACCUGGAAUACCUGCUACUGCCAUUUCUUUGCUAUUUUUAUAGUGAUGUAAAUGAAAAAAUAAACAAACCCCAGAAGAACUUUUCUUGUAUUGGAAAAAGGCAUUGACUUGUGUAUGUGUCAUUAACUUGCAUCUCCUCUUGUUUAAAAAAAUCAGGAUUUUGACACACAGUCACAAAUCAAUCACAAAAUAAUUCUGUUCCAUUUAAAAUGUAGCUUCUCUUCAUUUAUUAGCUGAAUGUGGGUUGUACUUGGUGGAAAUAAAAGCUUGGAAUGCAGAA